rnacentral:tRNA from 1 species
GCGUCGGUAGUUCAGUGGUAGAAUGCUCGUCAACCGUGCAAAUGGUGCAGGGUUCGAUUCCCUGCUGACACA